rnacentral:rRNA from 1 species
CAACAGGGAUUGCCCUAGUAACGGCGAGUGAAGCGGCAACAGCUCAAAUUUGAAAUCUGGCUCUUUUAGAGUCCGAGUUGUAAUUUGCAGAGGGCGCUUUGGCGUUGGCAGCGGUCCAAGUUCCUUGGAACAGGACGUCACAGAGGGUGAGAAUCCCGUACGUGGUCGCUAACCUUCGCCGUGUAAAGCCCCUUCGACGAGUCGAGUUGUUUGGGAAUGCAGCUCUAAAUGGGAGGUAAAUUUCUUCUAAAGCUAAAUACUGGCCAGAGACCGAUAGCGCACAAGUAGAGUGAUCGAAAGAUGAAAAGCACUUUGGAAAGAGAGUCAAAUAGCACGUGAAAUUGUUGAAAGGGAAGCGCUUGCAGCCAGACUUGCCUGUAGUUGCUCAUCCGGACUUUUGUCCGGUGCACUCUUCUGCGGGCAGGCCAGCAUCAGUUUGGGCGGUUGGAUAAAGAACUCCAUCACGUACCACCUUUCGGGGUGGCCUUAUAGGGGAGUUGUCACACAACCAGCCUGGACUGAGGUCCGCGCAUCUGCUAGGAUGCUGGCGUAAUGGCUGUAAGCGGCCCGUCUUGAAACACGGACCAAGGAGUCUAACAUCUAUGCGAGUGUUUGGGUGUCAAGCCCGAGCGCGCAAUGAAAGUGAACGGAGGUGGGAACCCUUAAGGGUGCACCAUCGACCGAUCCUGAUGUCUUCGGAUGGAUUUGAGUAAGAGCAUGGCUGUUGGGACCCGAAAGAUGGUGAACUAUGCUUGAAUAGGGUGAAGCCAGAGGAAACUCUGGUGGAGGCUCGCAGCGGUUCUGACGUGCAAAUCGAUCGUCAAAUUUGGGCAUAGGGGCGAAAGACUAAUC